rnacentral:rRNA from 1 species
UUUGACUGGGGCGGUCUCCUCCCAAAGAGUAACGGAGGAGCACGAAGGUGGGCUAAUCACGGUUGGACAUCGUGAGGUUAGUGCAAUGGCAUAAGCCCGCUUAACUGCGAGAAUGACGGUUCGAGCAGGUGCGAAAGCAGGUCAUAGUGAUCCGGUGGUUCUGAAUGGAAGGGCCAUCGCUCAACGGAUAAAAGGUACUCCGGGGAUAACAGGCUGAUACCGCCCAAGAGUUCAUAUCGACGGCGGUGUUUGGCACCUCGAUGUCGGCUCAUCACAUCCUGGGGCUGAAGUCGGUCCCAAGGGUAUGGCUGUUCGCCAUUUAAAGUGGUACGCGAGCUGGGUUUAGAACGUCGUGAGACAGUUCGGUCCCUAUCUGCCGUGGGCGUUGGAAGAUUGAAGGGGGCUGCUCCUAGUACGAGAGGACCGGAGUGGACGAACCUCUGGUGUUCGGGUUGUGUCGCCAGACGCAUUGCCCGGUAGCUAAGUUCGGAAUCGAUAACCGCUGAAAGCAUCUAAGCGGGAAGCGAGCCCUGAGAUGAGUCUUCCCUGAUACUUUAAGUAUCCUGAAGGGUUGUUCGAGACUAGAACGUUGAUAGGCAGGGUGUGUAAGCGCUGUGAGGCGUUGAGCUAACCUGUACUAAUUGCCCGUGAGGCUUAACCAU